CACUUGCUGAUUAUUUUUUUCCUCUUUUGUGAUGAAAAAGCACCUGUUGGAUGUUUAUCACCUCAGCUCUUCUUCAGGAAACAGAACAGACUGGCUGGCAGCAGCUUCAGCACUAACAGGCUGUCAGGAGCAGCUGCCUGAUCCCCAAGCUCCUCUGCCCUCCAUCCCACAGGGGUACAGCUGAAGAAGUGCCUGCAGCUCCUCCUGCACCGGAGGCUGGCUGAUCCUGAGCAGAUCAGCCCUGUGCCUGGCCAGGGGAUGCCAGCUGCCCUCCUUGGCCCACCCUCAUCUCCUCACCUCUCACAGAGGGCUGAGGCUGCCGCCUCCUCAUAGCCCAGCUGUGGGCAGUGCUGUGCAAGGCUGGCAUUCACAGCUUAGCUCAUCCCUUGCACUAGAUGGGAAGGAAAUGUGUCUCCAAAGAAGAGGUGGGUGAUGUCUGGACUCAUUUGAUUGGCCAGGUGGAAGCAGCCAGCCACAGUGUGGCAGUGCCUGAGGUCCCCGUGCCAGCACAGCACAGCACAGCAGCCUGCUGGCUUGGCCAUCAGCCCUCCCUGAACCUUUCCAGUGCAGGUGGCACCAGCUCUGAAACACAGCAGGCACGACGGCAGGGGCACUGCCAGACCACGGAAAGCCUGGGUCGUUGAUGAGGCUGUUAGCACUCUUUCCGUCUUUUAAUGUCCAAGUCCUUACCAGAAGACACUGGCUUAAUCUCAGCUCAACUGGAAAAAUGCCGAUGACUGGAAAUGUCAUCAGCUGCCUGUGGGCCAGGCUGGCCCUGAGCUGAUAAGGAGCAACACGAAAUAAAAAUGUCAACACAAAACUGGAGAAACACAGAGGGUGGUUGCAGCUCUUCUCCAUCCUGUAGGAAGCCGGGCCCCUCUGUUACCAGUCCUAGGAGCUGAACUUUCCCUAAAGCCUCAGUGACCAGCUCUGCUCUUCCUUACAAAAGGGAAAGGUGGCUGCUCUCAAUGCUGCAGAGAAAAAACUGAACUCUUGCCCCAUUGACUUAAAUAAAGAGGGUAAGUUAACUUCUAUUGCUUUCUUUAAUUUUUUUGGGUAAAUGUCAUGAUGUUCUGUGCUGCAGCCUUGUUUUCUUUAAGCACAGGUAAGUGGUGGGAGACCCACCCAGCCAGAAGGAGGGCUGAUCCACCUCCCUCUCAUCUGGAGUAUGAGCUUUGGACACUAGGUUUGGGCAGCAGCUCCUUUCACCCCAUGCCAAGUGUGCUCUCAUGACUCCACAGGAACACCAAAUACUGCACCGUUCUGCAAAAGUAAAGCCAGAAGUGACUAUCUAACCUUCUUUCUUUGGUGGGAGGGAUGUGUUAAUUCUCCAUGGAGAAUGGGAUGCAAAAGCUCAGACCUUGUGACUUCUGGAGCAGAGUAGUGUCUGAAAAUGUCACCCAGGCCUUGAAUCUGUCUGUAUCCCUUCUCCAAGUUUACACAGAAAAUAAAACCUAAAAAGUCUAGGGAACUUUACAUGAACAAGCCAGUUUUUAUAAAAAACCGACUCAUAAAAGCAGCCUGUGAACUUUUCCAUGAGUGUUUUAGUGAGAAAUCUUUGAGACAGAGCCAGAGAGAAGAG